rnacentral:rRNA from 1 species
CCUACGGGAGGCUGCAGUGAGGAAUAUUGGUCAAUGGGCGAGAGCCUGAACCAGCCAAGUCGCGUGAAGGAUGACGGCCCUACGGGUUGUAAACUUCUUUUGUCAGGGAGCAAUUGAGUCCACGUGUGGUCUUAGCGAGAGUACCUGAAGAAAAAGCAUCGGCUAACUCCGUGCCAGCAGCCGCGGUAAUACGGAGGAUGCGAGCGUUAUCCGGAUUUAUUGGGUUGAGGGGGUGCGUAGGCGGAAUAUCAAGUCAGCGGUAGAAGUUCGGGGCCCGACCCCGUCCCGCCGUUGAAACUGAUGUGCUUGAGUGGGCGAGAAGUGUGCGGAAGGCGGGGUGUGGCGGGGAGAUGCAGAGAUGGCACGCAGGA